GUCAUAGCUCCUCACUGGAUGGGAUUGGAGAACUUGGAACUGAAACAAGAGUAGACAGAUCCUCGUGAGGCUGCUUAGCAUCGCCAUGUAUGGCACCUCCAGACCACAGAACUUCAUGAACCCAUCAACAUGUGCUGCCACUACCUCUACCCCAAUUCAAGAACCUCUCAUACCCCAACAGCCAGAACUGAAUCUAAGGGUAGAAGACAGGAAGACGACAAGUACAAAAAAACCCACCACUACCAACUGGUCAGCAUCAACCACCACGUCACCGCUAAGUCAAGACGCACAAAAGACAUUGAUAACGCUGAUAGCUUUAAGCAUGGUCUGUUGAUUGAGUGGAUUUCUCCAACUAUCGUACUCUAUCCUUCAGGCUUCUAGAGAUAUCCUCCAAAGGAAUGCUGUAUCAGAGGAGAAAUAUGGACACAAACAUGGCAAACUCUAGCCAAAUUC